GGGGAUUUAGCUCAGUGGUAGAGCGCUUGCCUAGCAAUGGCAAGGCCCUGGGUUCGGUCCCCAGCUCCG
rfam:Rattus norvegicus chromosome 12, whole genome shotgun sequence.